GGGACUUCUUUACCUCGAUUUUGUUAUUCAGGGGAAUCCCUUUAUUUCAUGUCUAUACUCAUGUGUAUAACCCGAUACCCGAUCUUUAUCGUUGAUUUAUGGCUCAUGAUCUCAGAUUAUCGCAUCGCAGAAGCUUAUCUAAAUAACUGUUCAGAGUUUUCAGCACUGCGCUCUUCGACGAACGUGACUAUUUUUUCGUACUGAUUAGUUGUUCGCCUAUAGAAAUUAAUUAUUCUUUUGUCUUAUUUUUUGUAUAAUAAAUCUACAUUUUUCAUCCUAUCGUCCAUGCAUUCUUCUUCAUAUUCCGAUUUUCAACUAUUUUAAAUUACUUGAAGCUUGAAGUAUUCAGUGGUGUAUUUGACCAUUCAUUUGUCUCGAUACAAAAGCAGAGCAGCUCGUCCGUGCGAUAAAAAAAUGGCUCCAAAAGAGGCUGAAGGAUCGGAGGCAGAAGACCCUAAGAAAUUGACGCCGUAUCAAGGCAAAAGCCGAUGCUUUGGACUCUACCAAUGUCCUAAAUGUGACCGCCAAUGGUCUUCAGGUAAUAGUUGGGCUAAUACUACUCAGACUUGUAGAGGAUGCGGGACGAAAGUGUAUGCUAAACAACAGAGAAGGCUAUGGAGGAAAAAAUUACGUAACACUGAUAGAUCAAAAGCACACCCGGAGGAAUUGUGCGGCAAAUGCCAACAACUGGGACACAGUUGUGUAUGGUUCCUAAAUCGAGAGAAUAACACUGAAGAAAAUGGGAAAAAGAAAAGAUCCAAAAAAUCAAAAAAAAAGACAGAAACAAAAAUGAAUAGUAACCAGAUCAAUGGCACUAAAAAGUAGUAGCUUCGCUUAAUACAAAGAUUAAGUAUUUUUCUAUAUCCGAUAAAAAUAUACUUAAGUAAAGAAGUAUUUUUGUUUUGUUUUUUGUUAUGCGAAAGCUCCAGGGAGUUUCAUCGAUGUAAUCGAUAAGCAACUACAGAAAAAAUAAUAUCUGUUAAUACUUAAUAAUGUUUGUCAACUGAACAUUUUUGUUACUUAAUACUUUAAUAUUGGUAGAAACAUAGAAAAAAAUGAGAUUUGAUAAACAGCCUGAGUGGAGUGAUAAUUGAGCGAAAUGUGACAUGAAUAGCAUGACUGCUGUAACUAUAAUCGGAUGCUACUUCCCGUUAUCAUUAUUUCCAGGCAGUUAGUUCUAAGUGAAUUAUUUGUGACUCCAUUAUUUCACUAUACAAUUUUGUUUCUCGUUAUCGUAUAAUUAAGUUUUCUUCAAUCCUAUAUCCAAUAAACACUUGGAAAUGUAUUGUAACGACUACAAAGUCAAUGAGUUUCAUUGAUUGUAUGAACCUACGUAUUUAGGCAUUUUUCUAUAUCUUUGUACCAGGCUUCGAAACAUGUGAAAAGAUGAUGUUGUUCAUUGUAUCUAAAAACCAUUCAAGAAGAAGAAGAAGAAAGCCAAAGAAAUUUUCAAUUAAUACGAGAUUGUUGAAUUUAAAGGGUUAAAAAAAUUUGUAACAUCUUUUUUAUAUUAAUAAUAUACAUUUCUUAGCUCUCUCUCUUAUUUUUCUAUAAACUCCAAAGUACAAUGACUCGUGUAUUCUCUUUAAGUAAUUUCCAUUUUGAAAAUGAACCAUAAUUGAAAGUUUUAUGGAUUUUGAAGUUGAAUUUAUCACCUUGAUUAAUUAUUAAUUUUUACCGUUGUUCUUCGCUCAUUGACAGAAGAAAUUUGCUAUCAAAUUCAAGAUUACACAAAUACAUUCUAGAAGACUGUUUCCAGUUGUUGAUAAAUGAGGAAGCAUGUGACUUAUAACGAGAAGAAAGAAUAUUUAUAAGAGGUGAAUUUAAGAAUAAAUAUAUUUCAACGAUCUCGCAUUUAUUACAAAGUCUCCGGAGAGCCUAAAAUAAGGAAAAGAAACCCAAAUACGAGUGCCUCUACUUGAAGGAUACAAAAAUUUCGUGUUCCUCAAUGAUAUAAUAAAAGUUUAUAAUUCAUUCGUUAUACUUUAUGGAUAAAUAUUUGUUCAUUAAUUAAUGUGGGAUAAAUACGCUGUUUUGUGAAAUAUACAGAAUAAUAAUUUUUGAAA